AUUAUUUUUAAGAGAACACAAACUUUAUACACUAUAAAUAUAUCAAAUCAUAUUAUAUUUUUUUACAAGCAAAAGGGGGGGAAAUGGCAGAAAUUAUCAAGUUUGUUUAUACUAUGAUUUUACUGCUUUCCUUGUUUCUUGUCACAACGAAAGUUGGUGCGUAUAUUGCGUGUCAAUCAGAAAUUGAUUGUCCACCAAACUAUUCAUUCCUUUUUGCUAUUAGGUGCAUUAAACAGAAAUGUGUUACUGUUGGAAGAUAUCUUUGAUUCUAUGAGUAGUAUCAGACUCAAGAGAGUACAAAAGAACUCACCUUAUGUUAGAAUAUUUCAUGAGUUUUGAAUUAGUUAUUGUGAUGGCAACCAAUAAUUGUUUUUUCUCUUCUAAUUUCACUGAUCUAAUAAUUAUUGUUUUGUAUUCUAAGACGAUAAUGAUGAUGAAAUAAGGGUGCAAAUAGUAUUAUUUAAAUAGUCAUGUCUCUUUAAUUUAGUGAUAGCAUAUCAUACCUUCUUUCUAACCUACCAUCUAUAAGAAUAACAUUAAUUGUUAAGUUGAGAUAAUUUUUUUGUUUUCCUUCAAA